GUUGCGCACCCAGACCUGAACUUCGCAGAGAGAUCAUCUGCUCCCCUGCACCAUUUCUAACGGAAAUGUGACCCUGUCCACCCACCAAUCUUGGGUUUUCCCUAGUUUGGGGAUGUAAUUAUAAAAUUCAGGAUAAGUGAAGUUGAAUUUUAGAUAAAUACUAGUUAAUGUUUUAGUAUAAGUAUGCUCAAAUUUAAUUGAGUGCCCUGUAGUUGUUUUUGCUAAUUCUGACAACUCUACCCCAACAGGAAAAGUGUUGUUUGCUGACAGCCCCCAAAAUGACAAAACGCCCAUUCAAAUCCACUAAAGGAGUUGGAUGGAGAGUUUCACCAAGCCACAAAUUUUUGAGCUGAGUUUUGAGCUGGAUCUCAAGAUGAGUAGGAAUUUACCAAGGGAGAAAAAAAAAAAAAGGAGAGAGAAGAGAGUGCUUCACCAGCAGAGAAAGCAAGCAGCAUGGACCACAGGGUCAUCAAGUGAACACUGAUGAGGCCACAACCGCGCUACUGGUCCAAUGCACUGAGACGGCCAUUAGCCCAUCCGGUGAAACUGAAUGUAAGACCAGAAAGGAACCUCGGAGGUGACAAUCUGAUUGGAAGGAGAAUUACCCACAUUAUUUUCACUUGUCGAAGGAAGAGGAAGUCUAGUAAAGAAACAGAACUGAAAGAGAGACCAAAUGGCCCUUCGUCUUCUGAGUCAUUUCUAUUCUGUUUAUUUCUCCAUUUGCUCAAUUUCUUUGAGUACACAUGAGGCUGAACUCGCAUGUCAUCAGGUUACUCACAGCUGGGCUGACUUGGGGGAUUUUACCUUUGGAUCGGAGCAUACAAAUACUUCCAUCAAUAUUCUAUUUCCCAAAGCUGCCAGACUGAGGUGAGAUGCAGUGUGAACGUGGAGCUGGUGCAGCGGUUGUCGGUGUAGGCUCACCAGUCUGGAAGUUUUGUGUGGGCACUCCGCAGCGGAAUCGCCAGAUAAGAGAUACUGAAUAGUUUUGCGACAAGAAUUUGAGAGGAAAGAGGGAAGGUCGCGGCGGUGAGGAGUUUGCCCUUUCUGCAGUUGACAGCGGUGAAUAAAUUACUGGUGAGAUGAACUGGGAAAGGGUCUAGGGUUUUGUGACUGCAGGCAUAUCAAUAUUUGACCCCUGCUUCAUUAGUGUUUCUUCUCUAGGUGGAAGAGAAACGAUUCAUGCAUCAGACUUUUUCAUUGUGUACUCAGGGUCAUAAAACAUAUCUGAUAAACAUUUCUGAGGUCAAGUUGCUCUGAGAUUGUGUUAUCGUUACUAACUAUUCUUUGUGUAAUAGCAGAACUCGUUUUGUAAGACACAAAUGACCCUAUUCUCCUGGUCUGAAUGGAAGAUGGAGAUUUGCUCGUCACAUCCACCCGUGUAUGUUCUGUAAAAAUGACAGAAUUCUGCUUCUGUCCCCAGUGGAGCAAUGGAGACUGCAUUUGCCCAUCCACGUUAAAUAACCAAAUCUAGAAAAAUAAUUAAAACAAUGGGUUGCAGAAACAGGACACCAGGAAGCACAGGAUACUGAUCCACAGUAGAGGAGAAACAAACAAGAAAUGCUUAUUUACUUUUGAAAGAGCACGCACACAAGCAGGGGA